rnacentral:rRNA from 1 species
UACGUAGGGGGCCAGCGUUGCUCGGAAUUACUGGGCGUAAAGGGUUCGUAGGCGGUGUGGCAAGUCGGGCGUGAAAUCUCUGGGCUCAACUCAGAGGCUGCUUCCGAAACUGCCAUGCUUGAGUGCGGGAGAGGCGAGUGGAAUUACAGGUGUAGCGGUGAAAUGCGUAGAUAUCUGUAGGAACGCCCGUGGCGAAGGCGGCUCGCUGGACCGCAACUGACGCUGAGGAACGAAAGCUAGGGGAGCAAACAGG